GCUCAGGACGAACGCUGGCGGCGUGCCUAAUACAUGCAAGUCGUACGCUUCUUUUUCCACCGGAGCUUGCUCCACCGGAAAAAGAAGAGUGGCGAACGGGUGAGUAACACGUGGGUAACCUGCCCAUCAGAAGGGGAUAACACUUGGAAACAGGUGCUAAUACCGUAUAACAAUCGAAACCGCAUGGUUUUGAUUUGAAAGGCGCUUUCGGGUGUCGCUGAUGGAUGGACCCGCGGUGCAUUAGCUAGUUGGUGAGGUAACGGCUCACCAAGGCCACGAUGCAUAGCCGACCUGAGAGGGUGAUCGGCCACAUUGGGACUGAGACACGGCCCAAACUCCUACGGGAGGCAGCAGUAGGGAAUCUUCGGCAAUGGACGAAAGUCUGACCGAGCAACGCCGCGUGAGUGAAGAAGGUUUUCGGAUCGUAAAACUCUGUUGUUAGAGAAGAACAAGGAUGAGAGUAACUGUUCAUCCCUUGACGGUAUCUAACCAGAAAGCCACGGCUAACUACGUGCCAGCAGCCGCGGUAAUACGUAGGUGGCAAGCGUUGUCCGGAUUUAUUGGGCGUAAAGCGAGCGCAGGCGGUUUCUUAAGUCUGAUGUGAAAGCCCCCGGCUCAACCGGGGAGGGUCAUUGGAAACUGGGAGACUUGAGUGCAGAAGAGGAGAGUGGAAUUCCAUGUGUAGCGGUGAAAUGCGUAGAUAUAUGGAGGAACACCAGUGGCGAAGGCGGCUCUCUGGUCUGUAACUGACGCUGAGGCUCGAAAGCGUGGGGAGCAAACAGGAUUAGAUACCCUGGUAGUCCACGCCGUAAACGAUGAGUGCUAAGUGUUGGAGGGUUUCCGCCCUUCAGUGCUGCAGCUAACGCAUUAAGCACUCCGCCUGGGGAGUACGACCGCAAGGUUGAAACUCAAAGGAAUUGACGGGGGCCCGCACAAGCGGUGGAGCAUGUGGUUUAAUUCGAAGCAACGCGAAGAACCUUACCAGGUCUUGACAUCCUUUGACCACUCUAGAGAUAGAGCUUCCCCUUCGGGGGCAAAGUGACAGGUGGUGCAUGGUUGUCGUCAGCUCGUGUCGUGAGAUGUUGGGUUAAGUCCCGCAACGAGCGCAACCCUUAUUGUUAGUUGCCAUCAUUCAGUUGGGCACUCUAGCAAGACUGCCGGUGACAAACCGGAGGAAGGUGGGGAUGACGUCAAAUCAUCAUGCCCCUUAUGACCUGGGCUACACACGUGCUACAAUGGGAAGUACAACGAGUUGCGAAGUCGCGAGGCUAAGCUAAUCUCUU
rnacentral:rRNA from 2 species